GACGAACGCUGGCGGCGUGCUUAACACAUGCAAGUCGAGCGGUAAGGCCCUUUUGGGGGACGACGAGCGGCGAACGGGUAGGAGUAACACGUGGGUGACCUCGCCCUCCAGCUCUGGGAGUAAGCCUCGGGAAACGUAGGGUCGUAAUAACUGGAUAUGACCUUUCCUCGCAUGGGGUUGGGUGGAAAGUUUUCGGUCUGGGGAGUGGGCCCGCGGCCUAUCAGCUUGUUGGUGGGGU
rnacentral:rRNA from 1 species